UAAAACAUUACAAAACCAAACAAACCACAUACCAUUGGUUUAAUGAAACAUAUCAAAACCAAACAAACCACAUACCAUUGAAGGGAAAGGCAGGUUAAAACCAAACACACCACUUACCAUUGAAGGGAAAGGCAGGUUAAAACCAAACACACCACUUACCAUUGAAGGGAAAGGCAGGUUAAAACCAAACACACCACAUACCAUUGAAGGGAAAGGCAGGUUAAAACCAAACACACCACUUACCAUUGAAGGGAAAGGCAGGUUAAAACCAAACACACCACUUACCAUUGAAGGGAAAGGCAGGUUAAAACCAAACACACCACUUACCAUUGAAGGGAAAGGCAGGUUAAAACCAAACACACCACUUACCAUUGAAGGGAAAGGCAGGUUAAAACCAAACACACCACUUACCAUUGAAGGGAAAGGCAGGUUAAAACCAAACACACCACUUACCAUUGAAGGGAAAGGCAGGUUAAAACCAAACACACCACUUACCAUUGAAGGGAAAGGCAGGUUAAAACCAAACACACCACUUACCAUUGAAGGGAAAGGCAGGUUAAAACCAAACACACCACUUACCAUUGAAGGGAAAGGCAGGUUAAAACCAAACACACCACAUACCAUUGAAGGGAAAGGCAGGUUAAAACCAAACACACCACUUACCAUUGAAGGGAAAGGCAGGUUAAAACCAAACACACCACUUACCAUUGAAGGGAAAGGCAGGUUAAAACCAAACACACCACUUACCAUUGAAGGGAAAGGCAGGUUAAAACCAAACACACCACUUACCAUUGAAGGGAAAGGCAGGUUAAAACCUAGUCAGUUGCACAACUGAAUGGAUUCUACCAAAAAUGUGUCUAAAUGUACAUUUAACUGAUCGUCUUGAUAGAAGCCUACAGAAAUUAUGGAUUAUACUAGUUUAUUUUGUGCCUUUAUUUAAUCAGGUAAGUCAUUAUGUUGUGCUAUACGUUUCCAGUUGAAGUGGCAGCAGACUGACCUGUCGUUCACUCCCUGAGCGAUGAAGCACACAGGAUAGUACCCUCCCUCCUCAUCCUCAGUGGGCGUCCAUCUUAGAAGGUACUCUCCUGGGACAGUGGUGUUCUCUGUGAUACUGGAAGGUCCGCUCACCAACAGCUCUGAA